CCUACGGGAGGCAGCCGUGAGGAAUAUUGGUCAAUGGGCGUAAGUCUGAACCAGCCAAGUCGCGUGAGGGAUGAAGGUUCUAUGGAUCGUAAACCUCUUUUAUAAGGGAAUAAAGUGCGGGACGUGUCCCGUUUUGUAUGUACCUUAUGAAUAAGGAUCGGCUAACUCCGUGCCAGCCGCCGAGGUAAUACAGAGGGGUCGAGCGUUAUCCGGAUUUAUUUGGGUUAAAGGGUGCGUAGGCGGCGUUUUAAGUCAGCGGUGAAAGUCUGUGGCUCAACCAUAGAAUUGCCGUUGAAACUGGGAGCCUUGAGUAGGUGUGAGGCAGGCGGAAUGCGUGGUGGAGCGGUGAAAUGCUUAGAUAUCACGCAGAACCCCGAGUGCGAAGGCAGCCUGCCAAGCCAUGACUGACGCUGAUGCACGAAAGCGUGGGGAUCAAACAGGAUUAGAUACCCCUGUAGUC
rnacentral:rRNA from 1 species